CCAAUAGCGUAUAUUAAAGUUGUUGCAGUUAAAAAGCUCGUAGUUGAACCUCGGGAUCAAUGGAUCGGUCAUGCCAUCGGUAUGUACUGGUCUCAUUGGUUCUCACCUUCUAAGGAACCAUGAUGUCAUUCAGUUGAUGUUGUGGGGAAUUAGGACUGUUACCUUGAAAAAAUUAGAGUGUUUAAAGCAGGCUAACGCUUGAAUACAUUAGCAUGGAAUAAUGAAAUAGGACAUCGCAUUCUAUUUUGUUGGUUUCUAGGAUCGAUGUAAUGAUUAAUAGGGAUAGUUGGGGGCAUUAGUAUUCAAUUGUCAGAGGUGAAAUUCUUGGAUUUAUUGAAGACUAACUACUGCGAAAGCAUUUGCCAAGGAUGUUUUCAUUAAUCAAGAACGAAAGUUAGGGGAUCGAAGACGAUCAGAUACCGUCGUAGUCUUAACCAUAAACUAUGCCGACUAGGGAUCGGAUGAUGUUGAUUUUUUAAUGACUCAUUCGGCACCUUACG
rnacentral:rRNA from 1 species